CUCUGGCUGAACUUCUUAUCAAGUGUCAAGAACAAUUUCAAGAUCAUCCACUUGAUGAGAAUUUCCAAUUAAAUGACAGACACUUUACUAAGACUUAGGCUUCCCCAAAGCAAGUUGUGUCAUGAGAAUGGCUUCCCCCUGGUAAAAGGAGAGAGGAUGGAUUGCAGGCUUAUUACUAAACAUUUCUUGCCCAGCACCUAACCCAGACUGAAACAGGAUUGGAAAAUUUCAGCGAGUGCUGUUUGCCUUCUUUCAAUGUCCUCGAGUUCUCCUCAGAAGCUUAAAGUGGAUUUUCAGACUUUUGGUAUCAGGAUUUCCAGAUUCUCUUUCUCUUCUAGUAAGGCAGGUAUUCUUAUUCGAGGCGAUAAUAAUGACAAGAGCUGCUCUUCAUGAAUCUACCCCUGUGUCGGGUUCUGCGGCAAAGCCCUUCACGAGAAGUGGUGAUACGGAGAGCUCAUUGGUAUGAAUGCAGGCUCGCUCAUACAAAAGUCAGAAAGGAACUCACAGGCGAAAAGGAGAGCAGAGGACUGGACUCAUGGCAGUUCUACUCAGAUAAAGGUUAUGUCGCAGAGAAGUUAAGCAACUUUUUAACUUCAAGAUCACACACUAGGAUUCGAACCCCAAGGACUAGUGCCAGAGUCCCUGCUCUAACCAUUACACAGCACUGCCUCCAGCAAUGAGACCCUCUUACCAGAAUGAAUGAAGGUAAUAAGGGACUUGUAUCUGAUUCAUAAGAAAGAUCAUUCACUCAGGAAGCCAGCUGCCACAUUGUAGAGAAAAUCAAAUAGGCAUAUGGAGAGUUCCAUGCAACAAGGUACUGAGGCCUCCUGCCAAUCAUCUUGGAUGCCCCAGCCAGUCCCGGUCAAGCCUUCAGACGACCAAAGUUCCAGCCAGCGUCUUUAAGAUAACUUCAUGAGAGAUGCUGAGCCAGAGCCACCCAGCUAAGCAGGUCCCAAAUUUCUAAAUCACAG